rnacentral:rRNA from 1 species
UCGGGAAUUUUGGGCAAUGGGCGAAAGCCUGACCCAGCAACGCCGCGUGAGGGAUGAAGUAUUUCGGUAUGUAAACCUCGAAAGAAUGGGAAGAAUAAAUGACGGUACCAUUUAUAAGCUCCGGCUAACUACGUGCCAGCAGCCGCGGUAAUACGUAGGGAGCAAGCGUUGCUCGGAUUUACUGGGCGUAAAGGGCGCGUAGGCGGCGCGGUAAGUCACUUGUGAAAUCUCUGAGCUUAACUCAGAACGGCCAAGUGAUACUGCUGUGCUAGAGUGCGGAAGAGGCAACCGGAAUUCUUGGUGUAGCGGUGAAAUGCGUAGAUAUCAAGAGGAACACCUGAGGCGAAGGCGGGUUGCUGGGCCGACACUGACGCUGAUGCGCGAAAGCCAGGGGAGCAAACG